UUUUAUGAAUGAGGAAAGAAAGUGACUUCUUUAGAAGAAAGCUAUUCUUGGUAAAUAUGCUAUGAA
rnacentral:pre_miRNA from 1 species